UACGGAGGGUGCGAGCGUUGUCCGGAAUCACUGGGCGUAAAGGGCGCGUAGGCGGCCUGAUAAGUAGGGGGUGAAAUCCUGCGGCUUAACCGCAGGGCUGCCUUCUAAACUGUCAGGCUAGAGCACAGUAGAGGCAGGUGGAAUUCCCGGUGUAGCGGUGGAAUGCGUAGAGAUCGGGAAGAACAUCAGUGGCGAAGGCGGCCUGCUGGGCUGUUGCUGACGCUGAGGCGCGACAGCGUGGGUAGCAAACAGG
rnacentral:rRNA from 1 species